CGCGAGCAGAGCUUACCAAUUUCUCCUCUCCAGUACCGCUCGCGGCGGCCAUUUUACUGGUUUCCUGCGCUCGGCAUGUAGCUCCACCCCCAACUACCGGACCUCGGAGUUGGGUUAAAGCUACAGUGGCGAUCGGACGGCUCCUUGCCCCCUCCUCACCCUUUCUCUUGUGACUGUAAUUGUUUUUUGUGAGUACUUUGUUUUUCUCAUAAAGGUAUAUUACCC